GGCAGUAGCGCGGUGGUCCCACCUGACCCCAUGCCGAACUCAGAAGUGAAACGCCGUAGCGCCGAUGGUAGUGUGGGGUCUCCCCAUGCGAGAGUAGGGAACUGCCAGGC
rnacentral:rRNA from 7 species